UUACACUUUCAGUAAGGUGGGGGAAAGUGCUUGGCUGACACUACAACCAUUCUUCUCAGGAUCCUAAUAAUAAUAAUAAUAAUAAUAAUAAACACUCCUGACCUCAUGAUCGUGUUAAAAAACAAACUGUGGAUCAUCGAUGUUGCAAUCCCAGGUGACAGCAGGAUUGAAGAGAAACAACUGGAAAAGAUGACACGAUAUGAGGAUUUAAAGAUCGAACUUUCAGAAGCUCAAUUCAGCAUGGCCAGUAGUCAAGAUUUUGGGGAAGUUGAGAACCACUGGCCUAGUGUGUAUGUCUCUAGUGGCAGCAAAACACGGAGUGAAGCUCAAACCUUCGUUGAAAAAGAAAAAAAACUGCUACUCUCCACCUAUGAAGCAACAGGGCCUGGUAGUAGGAUCCAGACUCAGUUCCCCAUCCCUGUUAAAACCCUUGGUGAGAUUAAGGCUGGACUGACACUGCAACCAUUCUUCUCAGGAUCCUAAUAAUAAUAAAAUACUUUAUUUAUACCCUGCUACCAUCUCCCAAGGGACUCGGUGUGGCUUACAUGAGGCUGAGCCCACAAUACAUCAAUACAAGCAAUAACAACCACAAUACAAAGCAAAAUACAAAUACUAAUACAAAGCAAUUAAAUAAAUCUCAUACACAAAUAGCGUAAACAUUGAACAAUAGCACAAAACACAUUUAAAA